ACCUGGGUGGCUAAGUCAGUUAAGCGUCUGACUUCAGCUCAGGUCAUGAUAUCAUGGUUCAUGGGUUCAAGCCCCAUGUCGGGUU
rnacentral:tRNA from 1 species